rnacentral:rRNA from 1 species
CAACUCGCCUACAUGAAGUCGGAAUCGCUAGUAAUCGCGGAUCAGCAUGCCGCGGUGAAUACGUUCCCGGGCCUUGUACACACCGCCCGUCACACCAUGAGAGUUUGUAACACCCAAAGCCGGUGGGGUAACCUUUUGGAGCCAGCCGUCUAAGGUGGGACAGAUGAUUGGGUGAAGUCGUAACAAGGUAUC